GAUGAACGCUGGCGGCGUGCUUAACACAUGCAAGUCGAACGGAGAUAUAUAAAUAGUUUACUAUGAAUAUAUUUUAGUGGCGGACGGGUGAGUAACACGUGGGCAACCUGCCUUAGAGUGGGGGAUAACAACGAGAAAUCGUUGCUAAUACCGCAUGAAAUUAGAUUAUCGCAUGAUAGUUUAAUGAAAGGAGAAAUCCGCUAAAAGAUGGGCCCGCGCCUGAUUAGCUAGUUGGUGAGGUAAAAGCUCACCAAGGCGACGAUCAGUAGCCGAUCUGAGAGGAUGACCGGCCACACUGGAACUGAGACACGGUCCAGACUCCUACGGGAGGCAGCAGUGGGGAAUAUUGCACAAUGGGGGAAACCCUGAUGCAGCAACGCCGCGUGGAGGAAGAAGGUUUUCGGAUUGUAAACUCCUGUCUUUUGGGACGAUAAUGACGGUACCAAAAGAGGAAGCCACGGCUAACUACGUGCCAGCAGCCGCGGUAAUCA
rnacentral:rRNA from 1 species